ensembl:lncRNA
AAUCGUGUAUCAGCUGCUGUUGAAUGUAAUCAAUAGAAAAUUCCCGAUCAUCGCUGCAUCGAUUAGCUGAUAAAUGGUGGCUGGAUUAAUCAUCCGAGAAGAUCAUGUUGUCGAUGGCCACGUGUUUCUAAACCUGACCACUCAGUGAAGCAGCCGCACAGAGCGACGCUUCAACAGCGCGGACAAUAAGUGACAGAAGAGAGCUGAGGAAUUGAUCAAAAAUGACCACAAUGAAUCGAGCCUCUUGUGAGGCCACACAUGUCCAUUAUGUGAGUGUGUCUGCAGGUUUGUGGUUGGAAUACAUCAAGGGCUUGAGGCCAAAGUUCAGCUUCAUCCCAGACUGAUGACCCUGCAGACAGACUGACCUUUAGCGGGUUGGGGUGUGGGGGGGGGGGCUCUAACAGAGGGGGGGGGGGGGUGGGGCUUACGGGACUGACGGGGGGGAGGAGGGAGGGGAUUGGGAAAGGGGAAUAAGAUGGAAUCAGGGGAGGUGAAGUUGUGGACCUAAAGGAGGGCGGUUGGAGUGAAGGGGAGUCUGAAGAGGAGAACGGCAGAGUGAGAGACCAGCGUGUUACCACAGUGGACCUCCAGUAUAUCCUUGUGUUUUUGGUCGAUCUAUUCCACUGCGCUUGGCUCCGGUUUGAAGCAGUGAAUUAACACCUGACCCGGCUUCUGACCCCACCCCCUUCCUCCACCUACCCCCUCCAGAUUAGCAAACAUGUGCUAUCUAGCCUGCACACACACACAUACAACGGCAACCUUUAUUCUGUUAUAUAUAACAUAUAUAUGUAUAUAACAUGUAUAUGGCAAGACCGUAUCAACGUCAUGUACACAUUUGGCCAGGAUGGAGGUAAAAAAGGACAAAGCAGCGCAUGUCCACGCAACCUUUGCACAUCCCGUCGCCUGUCCACCAUCUAAUUCCCCGGGGUGAACCCCCAUUGUGCUACUGCUUGUCACUGUAACGGUCAGUCUGUAAUGACUACCUUCCCCCCACACAAUGACCAUGGAGGCACCCCCCCACCAUACACACACACAUACACGCACACACUCUGACCCUCAUCCAUUUUACCUGCAGGAAAUAGACCAGGAUCGCCAGCACGUUCACAGCUUUGCACCCACAUGCUCCAGCCAGUCACAUCCAUAACUUACAGCUUUUAUCCAUGCCGGUUUUUUGAAACAAUGCCUUAAUUGUGUCAGAAUGAAGUGAUGAAAGAACGUUUUCUCUUUCGGGGUAUUUG